GGGAAGGGGUGGAACAACUACUCUCAGGACAGUUGCUAAAUAUAAUCUGGAGAAGCAAAUAAGCUAAGGGACAUGUUUUGCCUGUGGAAUAAAUCCCUCAGAUAUAGCUGAGUUAGGGCUGUUUUUAUGCCCUGUUGAAAAGCAGCCUGUGAGACUUCUGUUUAUCUUGGCGUUUGUGACAGAGGAUAGCUAGAUACUUCUACUUGAUGUGACAUACAGCAGUCUGGGAACUGUUUUUUUCAUCUUCUGAGGAGAGUGUGCUUUGAAAACAGGUUUAUGGUUUUCCAAUGGUCUUGUGCCAAAAGAAGAGCCCUAUCCUUCCUCAGGUUUUGGAAGAUGAGAAGUGAGGAAUAUGAACUUGAAGAGUGAGCUCGAGCAGGGAGAGGUAUUAGCCUGUGACCCAGAACCAGGCACCUGCCAUCUGCACCCAGCUCAGCAUCAGCACCAAGUGGACACUACUCCCCUGUCCACGCAUGAAGUCAUCAUACUGAAGGACCUAAAACUUCUGGGCAAUCUAUAGGCAAUUGAUAGAGAUGAUGUAAAUGCUCUGUGUGGUUUAGGCUGCACUAUGCCAAUUGCAUUAAUUCAUGGUCUGAUUUUCAGGAUCAGAACUGCGUGUAUCCUUCCAGUAAGGCUGUGCAUGACAACUAAUUCCAGGUUUUGAACCUUUAUCCAGAUGACUAGGGUCAUAAAUACAGAGCAUCAAGUGUCUAAUUCUACUAAAUAUUAAGUUCCUUGAUACACUGCAAAGCUCUUGAAAAUGUUGUCUGUGGGUUUAGCUUAAUAUGUGGUACCUAUCUGAAAAUGCUGGCAAUAUGUUUAUGCUUGAAUUACAUUCUCCUUCAUGAGUUGUGCAAUUUGAGUUGCCUAAGGGUCUUUCUUUCUUUAAUAAACCUGUUUUAUUGAAAUGAAGAUCAUGAAAUAGGAACGGAGGCUCUAAGGAUGUUUAAAAGUGACCUAUUACUUAUGAUAUGAGGUACAUAAACUUUUAUAAAGGUUUUCACUCACACAAGAAUCACUGAUGCCUGCUGUGUGCUAAGUGAAAAAAGUCAGAUGUGGUAUACACUGCAAAAACUGUGCAAAAGAGGCAUUCUAUUCUUUGUUAUUACGAUUUCGCCAUUUAUAAGGAUGCUGAAUACAAAUCAUUAUACAUCUAUGAAUGUCAGAAUAAGUCGAUCUGAGAAAUAAUUAUAAUAAUUUAAUCUUUUGUGACUUUUUUUGAAUAAUCUGUAGAAAACUCAGCUGAAACUGGUUCUCAUAUAUCUCCAUCCAUUUAUCUCCUAAAUCAGAAAUAUAUCCUCAACAUAUGAAUUAGUUAUUAACUGGUAAUAAAAAUGUAGAAAUCUACAUUAGGAUCAAUUAGUGCUUUCUUGAAUACUCUGCAUAUGUGUAGAGACAAUUGAAGUAUGCAAGAAUAUCCACUUCCGUUUCCUCUUUAACAUGAGAGUAAGGAUAUAUGAAGGACACUGAAUCUGAAAUAUGUUAAAGGCAGUGCAUUUCCAUACUGUCCUCUGAAAUCAGUGCCAGUCAUUCCCUAUUAUUAAAGCCAAGAAUUUCAGAGGAUUACAAAGGGACAGGCUUGUACCUAGGUAAAAUAUUCAGAGUUCUCAAAGGAUUGAAGCUCUCAUGCUCUUUGGUGUGCACCAACUUUUAACUACUGAGAGUUGAGAAGAAACUUUUCCUGCCCUCUGAGCAGAUUUUGCCGUAAUUGCAAGGUCUCUGGCCUUCCAGAGCAGGUGGCCCCUGCCCCUGCUGCAUGAUCAUACAGCUGUUGAUUCUGCUGUUCUACAGUUUUGUCAUCCCAGGAAAAGAAAUGCUUUGCUUGAUGAGCUUCAGCCUUUUAGAACCUCAUGUAUAAAAAUGCUUGGCUAUAAUAUGCUGUUCCUUACUACAGGAAUUACAGAGGCAAAUAAUCAGCUGGAGCUCUAACGAGGUAUUUGCAUGUAUAAUUAGAUUACUUGUAUGCACAGUUUUAUUCACAGCUUGAACCUGAGCCUGACAACUACGAAGCACCAGGUAAUGCCUUUUGGGUUGAAUUCCACAGGAUUGCUAUCAGCCCUUCUGUGUUCUAGAGAUAAGAUCAAACUGCACAUCAAUCUUUCAGGGAAGAUCAAUACAGAGAGAAAGCUGUGUUCAAGCUGACUUCCAGCUACAUCCCAGUAUCUGGUGCUUUCCUCUGAUGGGGUCUGGGAGGCUCCUAAAUCAGAUACAUCAAUUAAACCUUCGAAUUCUCAGACGUGCCUGUAUUCUCCUCUGACUAAGCCCAGGGGUUAAAGUGGACAUUAAACCAUCUGACAGAGGUUUUUUAAAAUGUAACCUUAAUUGUAAUGCCCUGAUAUAGGCUGAACAUAUGUUCUGGGCACUUUUUCUCCCCAUAAAGGAUUUGCUCUCCUUAGGAAAGCUUCAAUGUAAUGUUCAGUUUUUCCAGUGUACCUUUUGUGAACUGGCCCUUUAUAUCUGGAAACAGCUGCUUUGAAAGCAGAUACAGUGUCAGCUCAACUUAUUUAUUUUAGCCAUUCUUUCUUCUUGCUUCCCAUCACUUUUUCCUUCUGGUUUCUUAAGAAAUGAGUAACGUUAGCUCAAAGAUGUCAUGCAGCCUACAGCACUGAAUGUUAACUGGAUGGAAAAGAAAUCUUGGUUUUCUUCCAGUGCUUCUGCUUGUUGUGAGUCACUUUGCUUCCUCUUCCCUUGAUCUCUAGCAGUGAAAAA